rnacentral:lncRNA from 1 species
CCUCCUCCCCGGCUCCGGCGGUCGGUAGUGUCGCUGCCCUGCGGUUCUCUUGGCCAUGAGUCGUGCCUCUUCCAGCUCGUUUUAGUUCGGACUCGUCCUUCUCCUACCCCGAUCUGUCUCCUGGGUACUCUCCUCUGAAGUAAAAAUCGGAUUUUUCGCGGGGUUUUGCCCUCUUUUCCCGCUGCUCGAUCUCUUAAACAAAACGUUAUGGGGUUUUCACUGGCUUUCAUGGUUUCGAGGGGUUUUGGCUGCGAUUCCUCGUAAAAUGUUAGUCCAUUUCGGCUUUUUAGGAAAGAUAUAGUCUUUCUGCCAAAAAAUGUCAAAAGAUCUUUCUGUUCUAUCCAAAAACUCUACCCUAAUGCGAUUGCUUUCUGGACAUGGAAAAGAGAUAUUUUCGAUUCAUUUAUUGAUUUUGCUGUAAUAAAUUCUGAAGUUUAUGGGAAGAAAGCGUCAAAAGAUCCCUUUUAAUGGAUUAAAGUUUAUGCUCCAAGUGAUUCAUUAAGUGGGUUAACAUUUGUUUUGUACAUUUAUCACUGAUUUAAACAGACUUAAUGCUAAUAUGCAAUCCUCGGUGUAAGAAGUAAGAUGGUCGAAAUAUACGUCGAGGCCAAUAAUAAUUAGAUGCAAAUGAUCCAACCACAUCAUUAGAUUGGAUGAGUUGCUGCAGUGUUUGACAAGGAUUUAGCUGCAAUCCGAUUAAUAAUUCUUUUAUCAGCUAUUUACAUAGUUAUGGUUUAUUUUACUUAAGUUAGCCUGUGUGUCUAAUGUGGAAGCCAUCUCUCACAUACAUAGAAUGGAGGACAUAUGCACAAGUAGAAGGGUAAACUAGGAUAUCUCCGUUUAGUUUCUUUUGUUUCUCAUGUUGAAUGUGCAUUGAUCAGGAUACAAGUUUCGACAUGGCCGAAAUGCUGGUGAUCAGAGAGAAAAAUGAAGUGAAGAAUGGAAAUAAUGAGCCUGUUGAUGCUGAUGAUGACGAAGAUGGUGAUGUUGGGGAGGGUGAAGAUGAGUUGUCUGAUGACAAUGGGGAGGAAUAUGAGAACCCCGAUACCGAUAAUGGCAAGAAAAAUCCAGGUGGAGACGAUCAGAAGGGAGAGGGAGAGGAGGAGGAC